GUGUCAGCCGCCGCGGUAAUACGUAGGGGGCAAGCGUUGUCCGGAUUCAUUGGGCGUAAAGGGCACGCAGGCGGUCUUCCAAGUUUUGAGUGACAGGCGUCGGCUUAACCGAGGCAGGCCUUGGAAAACUGGGAGACUUGAGGGCUUCAGAGGGACGCGGAAUUCCAGGUGGAGCGGUGAAAUGCGUAGAGAUCUGGAAGAACACCAAAGGCGAAGGCAGCGUCCUGGGAAGUAACUGACGCUCAGGUGCGAAAGCCAGGGGAGCGAACGGGAUUAGAUACCCCGGUAGUCC
rnacentral:rRNA from 1 species